GGGAAGACUUUCAGAAAAUCCAUUGAAAAGAAAGAAAAUGGGAAGCAGAGCUGUUUUGCUACUCAAAGGACCGUCGCCACCAAAGCAUAGCAUCCUCUUCCUUCUAAACCACAAAAAAAUCAGCCCCGCUCCUUCAAUACGAAGAUUCACAACAAAAGCAACAGCCAAUGGGUCCUCUCUUGAACCACCAGAUGUCGCUCGCUUGGCUGAAACUGCUAGAAUUUCACUAACCCCACAGCAGGUUGAAGAAUUCGGUCCUAAAAUCCGACAAGUGAUUGACUGGUUUGGACAAAUUCAAGCUGUUGACCUUGACAGUGUGGAACCCUCAAUCAGAGCAGACACCGAAGGUGACAACUUGCGUCAUGAUAAUCCUGAAACGUUUGAGAACAGGGAAGCUAUCAUUGCUGCUGUACCACACUAUGAGGAUCCUUACGUCAAAGUUCCCAAGGUUUUGAACAAGGAGUGAGACUAUUUAGAACUAAGGAGAGAUUAUGGUGCGACUUUGCAAAUGGGGGGAAGUUUGGCAGCGUUAGUGUGAAGAAUUCUCCAUGCAGUCACAUAAUCUUUUGUCCAAGGAACCAGAAUAACGUCCAAUCUUGUUUCUAGAUUGAGUAGAAAAAGGACAUAUAUUUCUUUCAUUAUG